GAUGUGAUAUUUGAGGGUUCGUCAAUAGGAUCUUUGUAGUUCUUUUUAUUAAUUUUCUUUAGUAAAUUUGAGCGUGUUUUUAUGGUGAGUGCUUAAGAUAUUUUUUUGGGACGUAUACUAUUCUCCUGAGGGAGCAUAGUUUAUUUCUCUUUCUAACACUUAGAUUUCAUCGUCUAAAAAUCGGAGGGUCUCUAUUCAAUCUCAAGACAUUUUUUUUUCAAGUACAUGGAAGGUACAAUUAUGAAUUUUUUUAGGAAAAAGUUUAUAAACAGUUGACACCUUAAAAUGUAGAAUUAAGAUACACCUCUAAUAUCUUUCUAAAAAGAUUGUUUUGAUGUUGGAAAAAUAUUUAAUUGAUCACCUCGUAUGAGAUGUAUAGAUAUUAGGAGAAAAAGAUAUUCAAGUCCUAAAAAUGGUACAUAUUGCAGCAUAUUAUUUGGACCGUCCAUUUUCAAGAUUUUU
rnacentral:lncRNA from 1 species